GGUGCGCCCCCUGGCGGGGAGGCGGGCCCUGAGGAGAGUGCCAGGCUCCUGGAGAUCUGGUAACACUCGCCGAAACCAGUGCUUCCUGGGACCUAGUUUGGAAAAGCUGGUUGUGAAAUACAUACUGCGGUUCAGCCUCCUCCCGCCUAAGAGCAACAAUGCCUGUGAGCAUAACCUUACCAAGAAGCGUGAAUCAUAUGAUAAUUACAUAUGGCACCCACAUAUCCAGAGGAGAACAGCACGGUGUGAGCCCUCAUCAAAUUGUCCAAGCCAGAAACCUAGGCCUUUUCCUGGAAUGACGUUCCUCCACAGGUCUCUAAUAGGUGGACCCCUGCAGCAUUCACCCAGCUUUUUCACUGCGCCUGAAUAGAAGAUGCCCUUUCAGGCCAGGCGCAGUGGCUCACACCUGUAAUCCCAGCACUUUGGGAGGCCGAGGCGG
rnacentral:lncRNA from 1 species